AUUGAACGCUGGCGGCAUGCCUUACACAUGCAAGUCGAACGGCAGCGGACCUUCGGGUGCCGGCGAGUGGCGAACGGGUGAGUAAUAUAUCGGAACGUACCUUUCAGUGGGGGAUAACGUAGCGAAAGUUACGCUAAUACCGCAUAUUCUGUGAGCAGGAAAGCAGGGGAUCGCAAGACCUUGCGCUGAUUGAGCGGCCGAUAUCAGAUUAGCUAGUUGGUGAGGUAAAGGCUCACCAAGGCGACGAUCUGUAGCGGGUCUGAGAGGAUGAUCCGCCACACUGGAACUGAGACACGGUCCAGACUCCUACGGGAGGCAGCAGUGGGGAAUUUUGGACAAUGGGCGCAAGCCUGAUCCAGCCAUGCCGCGUGAGUGAAGAAGGCCUCGGUUGUAGAGCUCUUUCGGUCCGGGAACGGAAAUACGCACAGGUUAAUAACCCUCGUGUGGAGUGACGGUACCGGAAUAAGAAGACACCGGCUAACUACGUGCCA
rnacentral:rRNA from 1 species